rnacentral:rRNA from 1 species
AUUGAACGCUGGCGGCAUGCCUUACACAUGCAAGUCGAACGGUAACAGGUCUUCGGAUGCUGACGAGUGGCGAACGGGUGAGUAAUACAUCGGAACGUGCCUAGUAGUGGGGGAUAACUACUCGAAAGAGUGGCUAAUACCGCAUGAGAUCUACGGAUGAAAGCAGGGGAUCGCAAGACCUUGUGCUACUAGAGCGGCCGAUGGCAGAUUAGGUAGUUGGUGGGAUAAAAGCUUACCAAGCCGACGAUCUGUAGCUGGUCUGAGAGGACGAUCAGCCACACUGGGACUGAGACACGGCCCAGACUCCUACGGGAGGCAGCAGUGGGGAAUUUUGGACAAUGGGCGCAGGCCUGAUCCAGCAAUGCCGCGUGCAGGAUGAAGGCCUUCGGGUUGUAAACUGCUUUUGUACGGAACGAAAAGCCCUGGGUUGAUACCCUGGGGUCAUGACGGUACCGUAAGAAUAAGCACCGGCUAACUACGUGCCAGCCGCCGCUGUAACAC